rnacentral:rRNA from 1 species
UACGUAGGGGGCUAGCGUUGUCCGGAUUUAUUGGGCGUAAAGAGCGUGUAGGCGGCCAGGUAGGUCUGGUGUGAAAACUCGAGGCUUAACCUCGAGAUGUCAUCGGAAACCAUCUGGCUAGAGUCCGGAAGAGGAGAGUGGAAUUCCUGGUGUAGCGGUGAAAUGCGUAGAGAUCAGGAAGAACAUCGGUGGCGAAGGCGCUCUGCUGGACCAUAACUGACACUCAGGGACGAAAGCUAGGGGAGCGAAUGGG